rnacentral:rRNA from 1 species
CCUACGGGAGGCUGCAGUGGGGAAUAUUGGACAAUGGGGGCAACCCUGAUCCAGCCAUGCCGCGUGUGUGAAGAAGGCCUUUUGGUUGUAAAGCACUUUAAGCAGGGAGGAGAGGCUAAUGGUUAAUACCCAUUAGAUUAGACGUUACCUGCAGAAUAAGCACCGGCUAACUCUGUGCCAGCAGCCGCGGUAAUACAGAGGGUGCGAGCGUUAAUCGGAAUUACUGGGCGUAAAGCGAGUGUAGGUGGCUCAUUAAGUCACAUGUGAAAUCCCCGGGCUUAACCUGGGAACUGCAUGUGAUACUGGUGGUGCUAGAAUAUGUGAGAGGGAAGUAGAAUUCCAGGUGUAGCGGUGAAAUGCGUAGAGAUCUGGAGGAAUACCGAUGGCGAAGGCAGCUUCCUGGCAUAAUAUUGACACUGAGAUUCGAAAGCGUGGGUAGC